AUGGCCGAGAUUGACACGAGGCCCCUAGAAUCCGUGCAGUCUGCCUUGAAUCUCUUCGAGCAGAGAAGCGACCACAGCAGGUUCAGCAGCCCUGACAGAAACGGGCAGGAGAUCGACAUCGUAACCAAGGAGCUGGCGACCUGCAAGCUGCAGCUGGAGGCCAAGGAGAGCGAGAACAAGCAGGCGCACAUGAAGCUGGAGGCCCUGCGGAAGUCCAUGCAGGAGCUCUCGGAGAAGUACGACCAGGCGUGCCUGGACGCGCACCGCCGCAUCACCGAGCUCGAGGCCGACAACGUCGCCAUCACCACCAGGCAGUCCCAGGCGGCGGCCGAGUGUGAGGCGCUGCGCGACGAGCUGGACGUCGCGGUGGGCGAGCUCGACGCCGUGAGGCGCGCCAACGCGUACGUGCUCGGGGAGGUGGAGUCCAUGGAGACGAGACGGAUCCUGGAGCGGGAGAGCGCGCGGGACGGGCUGAUGCGCGUGCUGGAGCUCAACGAGGCCGUGCUGGAGUCGGCCGUCGCGGCCAUCAGGGCGGAGGAGGAGCGGUCCGUGUACUUCCAGGAGGUCACUCUCGAGCUGUUCAGCUCUGACAAGAACCUGGAGGCGAUCAGGAGGCAGAAGGAGGCGAUGGAGGGCAUGGAGGGCGAGCUGCUGGCGAAGACGGUGGAGGUCGAGUGUCUGCGGUCUGAGCUGAUGCAAUUCAAGGAGCUUUACGUUUCUUCGUCCGAACGGUUCAUGGUUCGGGCCUCGACGAUGGUGCGCCGUGCCGACGGCGAUGCUGAGGCAAACCCUGCGGACACCGGUCGGUCCAGUAAUGACGGCCACGUCGACGUCAAUGCUGUUAAGUCUGACAAUGGCAAGGGGAGCCAAGAACCACGAGGAGAAGUCGCUGAUCUUGUCAAUGACAGUGAAUUGCCGAGGGAGGACUGUCAAAACAUUCAAUCUGAUGACCGGAAUAUCAAUGUUGCAACGUCUGCUGAUGUCGUGGAAGUUCAGGCAGGACAGAAAAGGAGAGUGCGUUUCAUGCCUGAAAGCCCGAUGGAGGAUUUCAAGAGCGUGAACUCUGAAUGUUGCAAGUACAUGGGCGCCGGCAUCGGCAUGUCCGAAAGUCUGGCAGGAAAGAGAGGCUCAGAGUCAGAGCCAGAGCCUGAUGCCUCAGGUGCCGGCUUCGUCUCCGAGAUCGUGGAGGUGAACUCGAAAGAGGCUGACGGCGACGGCGAGUUGUACACGAAGGAGGUCGGGGACGUCGACAGGCUCGGCGACGGGUACGUGCUCGUGGCGAAGGAGGCCGACGGCGGGGCGCUCAAGGACGAGAAGCUGAACGCGGCGCAGGCGGAGAUCAGCGACCUGAAGUUCAGCCUGGAGGAGGCGGUGAGACGGGCCGAGCUGGCGGAGGAGGCCAAGGCGGCGCUGGAGAGAGAGCUGCGGGAGGAGAUCCAGCUGAAGCAGCGCACGCCGCGGCCACGCGCUCCGGUGGAGGACGGUCGCCUUAGGCGCGUGGAGAGUACCCCGGCCGCGCCUUCCUGGCGGCGGCCGACGCCGUCCCAGGCACCAGGAGGCGGGAAGAGAGGCGGCGCCAGGCCGCCCGCGUCGCCGGGCUGCCUGACCCUGGGGAAGGCGCUGAACAUGAAGUACAAGUGA
rnacentral:rRNA from 1 species